rnacentral:rRNA from 1 species
CCCGCACAAGCGGAGGAACAUGUGGUUUAAUUCGAUGAUACGCGAGGAACCUUACCUGGGCUUAAAUGCAGAGUGCAUGGAGUGGAAACACUUCUUCCCUUCGGGGCUCUUUGCAAGGUGCUGCAUGGUUGUCGUCAGCUCGUGCCGUGAGGUGUCGGGUUAAGUCCCAUAACGAGCGCAACCCUUAUCGUUAGUUGCCAGCGGGUAAAGCCGGGAACUCUAGCGAAACUGCCGGUGUAAACCGAGAGGAAGUGGGAUGACGUCAAAUCAGCACGGCCCUUAUGUCCAGGGCUACACACGUGUUACAAUGGCCGGUACAGAGGGCAGCUACCUGGAGACAGGAUGCGAAUCUCGAAAGCCGGUCUCAGUUCGGAUCGGAGUCUGCAACUCGACUCCGUGAAGCUGGAUUCGCUAGUAAUCGCGCAUCAGCCAUGGCGCGGUGAAUACGUUCCCGGGCCUU